rnacentral:rRNA from 1 species
UUGGCCUCGGAUCAGGUGGGGAUACCCGCUGAACUUAAGCAUAUCAAUAAGCGGAGGAAAAGAAACCAACAGGGAUUGCCUCAGUAACGGCGAGUGAAGCGGCAACAGCUCAAAUUUGAAAUCUGGCUCACGCCCGAGUUGUAAUUUGUAGAGGAUGUUUCGGGUGAAGCCGCGGUCCAAGUCCCUUGGAACAGGACGUCAUAGA